CCCGGUCUUUGGAGCGCCGUCGAACUACCUCUUCCCAUCCCGAACAGAGUCGUAAAAGGCGGCAGCGGUGACGAUAGUUCCAGCGCAAGCUGGAGCGAAAAUAGCUCAAGGCCGGGA
rfam:Candidatus Chisholmbacteria bacterium RIFCSPHIGHO2_01_FTLL_52_32 rifcsphigho2_01_scaffold_32, whole genome shotgun sequence.